GCUGUGGGGUGGAGGCCAUGACUGGUGUGGAGGCCAUGACUGUGGUGUGGGUCCUGAGACAGAGGCAGAGAAGUAGAGGGACUUAAGGUGGGACAUGAGGAUGUUGGCUGAAGAGCGUCCAGAGGAGAUGGGGGAGCUUCUUACAAGGAGCCUUGCCUGCUGCCUUAAUGCUGCUGCUUGCCUUCUGCCCCACAUCCUGUUUGCUUGCUGUCACCCCUUUUAGCUUUUUCACUUUGAGUGGGACAAGUGAGGAAAGUGCCCAAGAUGAGGCCCGAGGAUGGGCAGGGGUCUCCGCGAGAGAUCACUUUCCGUGAUCUUCUUCCCUCAGACACUUGCCUCUUCCACACUUCCCCAUUAUGGCCAGAGCAUCCUUCCUGUCACCCAGGGGUGUGACCUUGGAAUCACCUCAGCUCUUCAUCCUCACUCACUCUAUGAAGUCCAUCAGUUUCUAGGUCUAGAAGAGCCAGAAAGAGCAUCCCUUGCCCUCUGCUCCCCAAUCGCCCUCUGCUCCCUCUCCAGGGAAGUAACCUUUGUGGCCUCUAUAAGCACUGGAACCCUCACCUCCUCAGAUGUGGAAAAGAAAAUGUUCCUCACCAAAGGCCUCCGAGGGCUGUCAAAUGGUUCAGCCAGAAGUGGACGUGAUUUUAUUUGGAGGAAAUUACUAGGUGCUUAAUAAAGGCUUCUUCUCAUCCCCCCUUUUGCGGUCAUACCCCGAGAAUCAAUGAGCGCUUCCAUCGUCCCUGCAGCUGGACCAUCCUCUCCAUGUUGUCCCCUGUGUUCAAAUGUGAACCCCUUGAGAUCGCUGACUCUCUUUUCUCUCUAUCUCUGCAACAUUUAGAACACUGCUUUGCAUCUUGUGAAGG
rnacentral:lncRNA from 1 species